AUUGAACGCUGGCGGCAUGCCUUACACAUGCAAGUCGAACGGUAACAGGUCUUCGGAUGCUGACGAGUGGCGAACGGGUGAGUAAUACAUCGGAACGUGCCUAGUAGUGGGGGAUAACUACUCGAAAGAGUGGCUAAUACCGCAUGAGAUCUACGGAUGAAAGCAGGGGAUCGCAAGAACUUGUGCUACUAGAGCGGCCGAUGGCAGAUUAGGGAGUUGGUGGGGUAAAAGCUUACCAAGCCGACGAUCUGUAGCUGGUCUGAGAGGACGAUCAGCCACACUGGGACUGAGACACGGCCCAGACUCCUACGGGAGGCAGCAGUGGGGAAUUUUGGACAAUGGGCGCAAGCCUGAUCCAGCAAUGCCGCGUGAAGGAUGAAGGCCUUCGGGUUGUAAACUGCUUUUGUACGGAACGAAAAGCCCCGGGUUAAUACCCUGAGGUCAUGACGGUACCGUAAGAAUAAGCACCGGCUAACUACGUGCCAGCCGCCGCGGUAU
rnacentral:rRNA from 1 species